rnacentral:rRNA from 1 species
AAACUGACGGGGGCCCGCACAAGCGGUGGAGCAUUGUGGUUUAAUUCGAAGCAACGCGAAGAACCUUUACCAGGUUCUUGACAUCCCGAUGCUAUUUCUAGAGAUAGAAAGUUACUUCGGUACAUCGGUGACAGGUGGUGCAUGGUUGUCGUCAGCUCGUGUCGUGAGAUGUUGGGUUAAGUCCCGCAACGAGCGCAACCCCUAUUGUUAGUUGCCAUCAUUCAGUUGGGCACUCUAGCGAGACUGCCGGUAAUAAACCGGAGGAAGGUGGGAUGACGUCAAAUCAUCAUGCCCCUUAUGACCUGGGCUACACACGUGCUACAAUGGUUGGUACAACGAGUUGCGAGUCGGUGACGGCGAGCUAAUCUCUUAAAGCCAAUCUCAGUUCGGAUUGUAGGCUGCAACUCGCCUACAUGAAGUCGGAAUCGCUAGUAAUCGCGGAUCAGCACGCCGCGGUGAAUACGUUCCCGGGCCUU